CAUUGGUCUUGGGGCUAAAAAAAAUACUCAGGAACGUGGUUGGAUAAAGGCAUGUUGUUCCGCAGAAGCUGUUAACCUUUGAAGCGCUGAUACGUUUUGGUUUAUUUCAAUUUUUUUAACCCGAUUUGCUGUCUUUUUAAGAAGUCUGUGAAAUCGUCUCCCUUGACAGGGCAAGCGUAACAUGCCUUAAGUCUCCAUCUCGUGGAGGACCUGCUUGGCUAGCAUUUGGUCUGUGUUGCUGUUGGCUUUUAAGGAACGUCUCUGUGUUGCCUUUUUUUGUUUGUUUUUACCUUUUCACUUUUUUUUUUUCCCUCAUUUUGCAUUUGGUUUUGCAAAGAGGUUGGCAAACACCAGAGCCAUCAAGGCCAGGGCAGGCUCUCCAUCCUUCUACUCUUGCUGAUGCUAUUGACCUGGGUUCCUUGUGUGCUCCUCUACACUCUGGCAAGAUGCAAAAUUUGACUUCUCUAUUGUCUUCGAUGAGAGGCUUCUCAUAUCCAUGAAAAGAUCCCUCCUGCUAUAAACACCUGGAAAUCCCAGCAGCAUCAGCAAUGCACUGCACUGUCCUCACGCUCAAGAGAAUGUAAGAGAAGUUGACUGAAGAUUGUGUUGACUGGACCACAACAGCCCCGUUUUCUGCCAGGGAUUAGUCACAACUGGAGACUGGACUAAUUUGCUGAUGCUGCACAAAGAAUUGUCUCUCCUUGAAAAUGGCCUGAUGCAUUCAGAACUCACAAAUGGUAUCAGACAAAACAUCUGUUCAGGGUAAUGAAGAGCUGGGCAGAAGUGUUCAUCUAAAUGAGGAGGAACUAGCUGCGUAAAGAAUCACCAGGACUUUCCUUCCUUCCCAGAGACCACACAUAUCAUCUUCUAUCAGUAGAAAUAGAGCUCUCCGAUUUCUCCCAGACCUGCCAUUAACCCCUACCUGCCUUCCAAAUUGCUGGUGGGAGUUUUUUCCCCCCUCCCCUGUGUCUUUAGAUGGCUUCAUAGUAUUUUACAUGCCCUUAGCACAAGUCUGUUGGCUGCUACUGUCUCAUAACUCUCUCUUCACUAUGUGAAUACGGAUCUCUCCUUGUUCUUCUCAGAGCAGCAUCCUGCUUCUACCAGUGAGGAAUCACUGACCCCAUGACAAAACUUGAUGGACUUAGGAAGAGGUGUCCUUGCUGAGUAAAAGUAACUUGACCUCUGUUAGAAGGAAGAAGGUAUUUCCUCACCAGUGGAGAACUGCCACAGCAGUGCAACCUUACCUACCAGAAGGUGAGCAACCCAUAAAUUGCUAGAGGUAAAUCCUGUUCCUUAUUUCCCAAGGAAAUGUUUUAUCACCAGUUAAGGACAGGACAGGGUAGGAGGGGCUGGACUGAAUCUAGUCCAGUUAGUUCAUUUUUAUGUCAGAGGACAUUUUCAAGGAGAGAGCUAUCGUCAGAAUAUGGCUUUUGGGCAACCAGAGCUGCAUUAAUCAAGAGAGAUCUUUAGUCUAUCACCUAUGCCAGUAAUAGGAGGUCAUCCUGCACUGAGCAUAUCCAAUGUUCAGACUCAGUAUGACUCAGAUUUAUCACAGAUUUGCACACAGAACAGAUUGCAAUUGACACGGACUUUGAACCUAAGCACUUUCCACCUAUCUGAAUCUAGUAGAAAGAUCGCAGCAUCCUCGGCAUCUGCAUAAAAACAGCAUUCACCUGGCAGUUUAUACAGAUGUCUAUUGCGGAGCUCAAUGGUUGUGAUGAACUUGGUAGGCUGCAAAAUGGAUGGAUGAAAUGCCUCACUUAAAAGCAGCUCCAAGGAACUGCAGAAUCUACGAGAAAUCGGGAGAGGUCUCUGGAGGGUGCAGGGUAGACAAAGCUGAGCUGCCUUUCCCAAUACCUACUUUGCAUAGGCCAAGGCCCUCAUUUUCUAUUGACUGGAGGGAUGUUUUACAAGUGCCCCUUCUGGUUUUGAGAGAUAUGAAAUCUGCCUGUAAUUAAGUUAAUUUGAAGUAGAACAUGGGCAAAGAUAAUGAGCUGGAAAUAACAAAAGAGUAAGGAAGAGGGGAGGAGUUGCUAAGAAACAGAUCUAUUGUACUAAAUCCUCCCUCCGCAAUCAAAUAAAGCAUUUUUAGGAUGGUUGAGUGAUGGUGCAGACAGAACACAGGCAUGCAAAUGACUGCUACAUCAAGAGCUCAAAAGAAUGAAGGAGAUAGGAGGGUUAUGACUUGGAGAACUGAGAAAGUCAAAAAGGCAGAGGAAAAGUAUUUCUUUUGGAGGUGACAGCUGUGGCCAGCACAGCUGGGUGUCAGAGAAGUGGCUUUGGGAUGAGCAGGGUGGUGUCCUGUGCCUGACUUGCAUUUUGGUCUGAGGGAACAGCUCCAGUGCUCUGAGCCUCCACUGGGAAGUGCUCUGGGACUGGCUACCAAAGUGCUCUGGUCUUGCUUACCGAAGAUCAACAAAUAACCCCUCCCAAAGACAAGGCUUCUACCUUCUAUGGUGUUUGACCCUGGUGAGAGCUCUCCCUGGAGUCAAGCAUCAGGGUGAAGACUUAAGACUGUUACUCCAUGUCUUUUAGAAAUUAUAUAAAAUAUAGCAUGUUCAAGCCAAAAGGAGGAUGGAAAAGAGGUCUGCAGCAAGGACCAGAAUACUUAACAGUCAGCAAAGCACAAGUAAAUAGACAAGUUAUGAUCAAUGAGUUUGUUUGAAUUUGACAGAGCUUUCCUGCAAACACAGGGGAGAGGAGGGGGGGUGAAACAUUCCCCACCACUGUGAGCUGUAAUAAAGGACCUGCUGUUUUCUGAUUCUCACUCUGUGAAAAUUGAAAAGGUUAGCCAGGUAAUUGAAAUCGGGACUGGAAUACAAAUACAGUGUAAAAACCCUACAGCUGGCAAACAAAGUUGCAAGGAAAAGACUCAAUCCUCACUGGAAUUUCUUAGCGGAGAAAAGAUGGGGUGGACGAGGGGGAGAGAUAAUUCUUCAAUAUACCUGUUCUUCAUGGAAGGGGAGAUGGGAUGAAAUGAGACCUGAAGCAACUAGAUUGAGGCUAACACUUAGAUGGGUGCUGUGUGCUGUCAAUGCAAGAGACACUGUGAAAAAGUGGAGUGUGCUAAGGCUGAAUUGUGUAUGGCAGUCACUGCUGCCCCUUGGAGUAACGCAGUAGGUUUACUGGGAACUGGUAGGUUGCCAUGUCAGCCCCAAUUUAGGGAUUGUUUCUUGUUAUACGCAGACAGAGAGAGCUCCACGUGACUCAGCCCCACUGGACUGAUGUCAACUGCCUCUUCAUCUUUGUCGUGUGCAGGAACACAAACUGAUUUGCAUCACUUCAGGUGAAGAGCACAGAGAUAGAUGGUUACUGUGAGGCAGCUAAGGAACGGUUCCUUGUUAGCCUACUGCGUGCUGCAUGUGUCAAAGUCCCAAUGGAGGGCUCUGUCAUUGCUACUGUAACGUAAAUUUAUAUGUGUUGCUAUACCUGUGGUCUGUUUUUCUGCAGGAACAGUUGACUUGAGCUGGGAGAAAACAGAGGUGCAAGGUUUGGGGGCAGCUCAGGUUUGUGGUAUUAGCCAGUCUGUAUGUGGUUAAAUAAACAAUAAUUAUACCUAUAA